rnacentral:rRNA from 1 species
GACAGAGGGUGCAAACGUUGUUCGGAAUUACUGGGCGUAAAGCGCGUGUAGGCGGCUAAGUAAGUCGGGCGUGAAAUCCCACGGCUCAACCGUGGAAGUGCACUCGAAACUGCAUAGCUAGAGUCCUGGAGAGGAAGGUGGAAUGCUUGGUGUAGAGGUGAAAUUCGUAGAUAUCAAGCGGAACGCCGGUGGCGAAAGCGGCGCGCUGGACCUCUUCUGACGCUGAGGCGCGAAAGCGUGGGGAGCAAACAGGGAU